UACGGAGGGUGCGAGCGUUGUCCGGAAUCAUUGGGCGUAAAGGGCGCGUAGGUGGCCCGGUCAGCGUGCGGUGAAAGCUCGGGGUUCAACCCCGAGUCGGCCGUGCGAACUGCUGGGCUUGAGCACUGUAGAGGCAGGCGGAAUUCCGGGUGUAGCGGUGGAAUGCGUAGAGAUCCGGAAGAACACCGGUGGCGAAGGCGGCCUGCUGGGCAGUGGCUGACACUGAGGCGCGACAGCGUGGGGAGCAAACAGG
rnacentral:rRNA from 1 species